AAAAAAGGGCGCAUGGCGGAUGCCUUGGCUCUCGGAGGCGAUGAAGGACGUGAUAAGCUGCGAUAAGCUUUGGGGAGGUGCAAAUGACCUUUGAUCCAGAGAUUUCCGAAUGGGACAACCCAAUAUCUUGAAGAGGUAUUAUCUUACUAUGUAAGAGGCUAACGCAGGGAACUGAAACAUCUUAGUACCUGCAGGAAAAGAAAAUAAACAAUGAUUCCCCCAGUAGUGGCGAGCGAACGGGGAACAGCCCAAACCAUCCAUGUUACGGCAUGGGUGGGGUUGUAGGACUACGCCGUUGCAUGAAGACAUCAGAGAAGAACUUUCUGGAAAGAAAGACCAUAGAGCAUGACAGUUGCGUAUUCGAAUGUUGUCGAAGCAUAGUAGUAUCCUGAGUAGCGCGGAGCACGAGGAAUUCUGCGUGAAUCUGCCGGGACCAUCCGGUAAGGCUAAAUACUCCCGAGAGACCGAUAGCGAACCAGUACCGUGAGGGAAAGGUGAAAAGCACUUCGAACAGAAGAGUGAAAUAGUUCCUGAAACCGUGCGCCUACAAGCGGUCGGAGCUCGUUAAUGAGUGACGGCGUGCCUUUUGCAUAAUGAACCUACGAGUUGCCUUUGCCGGCAAGGUUAAGUGUGACGACACGUAUCCGAAGCGAAAGCGAGUCUGAACAGGGCGUAUAGUCGGCAGUGGCAGACGCGAAACCAAGUGAUCUACCCUUGGCCAGGUUGAAGGCUGGGUAACACCAGCUGGAGGACCGCACCAAUAAGCGUUGAAAAGCUUCUGGAUGAGCUGAGGGUAGGGGUGAAAGGCUAAUCAAACUUGGAGAUAGCUCGUACUCCCCGAAAUGCAUUUAGGUGCAGCCUUGCGGGUUACUGAUGUGAGGUAGAGCGACUGAUAAGAUGCGAGGGCUUCACCGCCUAUCAAGUCUUGACAAACUCCGAAUGCGCAUCAGUUCUACCGCAGGAGUGAGGGCAUGGGUGCUAAGGUCCGUGCCCGAGAGGAGAAGAAUCCGGACCACCUGCUAAGGUCCCGAAAUGACAGCUAAGUUAAACUAACGAAGUCUGACUGCUAAGACAGCUAGGAUGUUGGCUUGGAAGCAGCCAUUCAUUAAAGAGUGCGUAACAGCUCACUAGUCGAGGAGUCGGGCGUGGAUAAUAAUCGGGUAUCAAGUUGUCUACCGAAGCAGUGGGAUCAUUGAUAUGAUCGGUAGGGGAGCAUUCCAGUCGGCGUCGAAGGCGUACCGUGAGGUAUUCUGGAGCGUCUGGAAAAGCAAAUGUAGGUAUAAGUAACGAUAAAGGGGCGGGAAACCCCUCGCCGAAAGACUAAGGUUUCCUGAUCAACGCUAAUCGGAUCAGGGUCAGUCGGGUCCUAAGGCUCAGCCGAAUGGCGAUGCCGAUGGCAGAAACGGUUAAUAUUCCGUUACUACCUUCAGGAGUGACGUGGAGACGCAGUAGUGACAGUGCCGCCAUCUGACGGAAUAGAUGGUUGAAGGGUGUAGGAGUCGAUCAUGGCAGGCAAAUCCACCAUGAGAUCCGAACCUGACAGUAUGCCGCGUCCUUCGGGACAAGGCAAUAGUGCGCGUAAGCAUGCUGCCGAGAAAAUCCGCUAAACUUAAUCCUGCAGGUACCCGUACCGCAAACGGACACACGUAGUCGGGAUGAAUAUUCUAAGGCGCUUGAGUGAUUCACGGUUAAGGAACUAGGCAAACUGACCCUGUAACUUCGGGAUAAAGGGUCCCUACCCUUUUAUGGGAGGGCAGAGAAUCGGUCCAGGCAACUGUUUAACAAAAACACAGGGCUGUGCCAAAUCGAAAGAUCCAGUAUACAGCCUGACACCUGCCCGGUGCUGGAAGGUUAAGAGGAGAUGUCAUCGAUAAGAGAAGCGUUGAAUUGAAGCCCAGUAAACGGCGGCCGUAACUAUAACGGUCCUAAGGUAGCGAAAUUCCUUGUCGGGUAAGUUCCGACCUGCACGAAUGGUGUAAUGAUCUGGACGCUGUCUCAACCGUGAGCUCAGUGAAAUUGUAGUAUCGGUGAAGAUGCCGAUUACCCGCGAUGGGACGAAAAGACCCCGUGAACCUUUACUAUAGCUUAUCAUUGAAUCUGGGCACGUGAUGUGUAGGAUAGGUCGGAGGCUUUGAAGCAGGUACGCCAGUAUUUGUGGAGCCGCUGUUGAAAUACGACCCUUUAUUUGUUUGGAUUCUAACCCGUGGAACGGGGACAUUGAUUGGUGGGUAGUUUGACUGGGGUGGUCGCCUCCAAAAGCGUAACGGAGGCUUCUAAAGGUGCCCUCCGGCCGAUUGGUAACCGGCCUUAGAGUGUAAUGGCAUAAGGGCGCUUGACUGGGAGACUAACAAGUCGAUCAGGUAGGAAACUAGAGCAUAGUGAUCCGGUGUUUCCGUAUGGAAGGGACAUCGCUCAAAGGAUAAAAGGUACUCCGGGGAUAACAGGCUGAUCCCUCCCAAGAGCUCAUAUCGACGGAGUGGUUUGGCACCUCGAUGUCGGCUCGUCACAUCCUGGGGCUGGAGAAGGUCCCAAGGGUUGGGCUGUUCGCCCAUUAAAGUGGCACGCGAGCUGGGUUCAGAACGUCGUGAGACAGUUCGGUCUCUAUCUAUCGUGGGCGCAUGAAAUUUGCGUGGCUCUGACACUAGUACGAGAGGACCGUGUUGGACAGACCUCUGGUUUGCCGGUUGUGCCGCCAGGUGCAUUGCCGGGUAUCUAAGUCUGGAUCGGAUAAGUGCUGAAAGCAUCUAAGUACGAAGCCGGCCACAAGAUUAGAUUUCUCAGGGUCGUUGUAGACUACGACGUUGAUAGGAUGCAGGUGUAA
rnacentral:rRNA from 2 species